rnacentral:rRNA from 1 species
GUUGAACGCUAGCGGCAUGCCUAAUACAUGCAAGUCGAACGGUGUCUUCGGACACAGUGGCGCACGGGUGCGUAACACGUAUGCAACCUACCUUACAUUGGGGGAUAGCCUUUCGAAAGGGAGAUUAAUACCGCGUAAGACAGUAGCUGGGCAUCCAGCAGCUGCUAAAGAUUUAUCGAUGUAAGCUGGGCAUGCGUCCAAUUAGCUAGUUGGUGAGGUAACGGCCGACCAAGGCAAUGAUUGGUAGGGAAACUGAGAGGUCCAACCCCCACACUGGAACAGAGAUACGGGCCAGACGCCUACGGGAGGCAGCAGUAGGGAAUAUAGGGCAACAGGCGCAAGUCUGACCCAGCCAGGCCGCGAGCAGGAUGAAGGCGUUAUACGUUGUAAACUGCUGUAAUGCAGGAAGAAACGUCUCUUGCGAGAGGCAAUGACGGUACUGUAUGAAUAAGCACCGGCUAACUCCGUGCCAGCAGCCGCCGUAAUAC